UCGGUGGUGAUGAUCUCGCAAGGAACGUUGUGAAGUUAACAAAUACGAUUUGUAAUGGGCACUGCAGAUAUAAAGUGCCAUAAAAUGCUAAUGAAUGAUAGUGUGCAUCCACUGGUUAGCGGGCCAGCGCAACAGGCCAAGGAUAACAGAAAAAGAGACUGCCUUUUGAACACACAAAGUGCUAUCCUAUUCAUCUGGCCUCAUGCCUGCCGCCGUGGGAGGCUCUGGAUCAGCCCUCAUUAUUCACCCAAACAACUUCCUUUCCCUCUCUGUCUGGGUCUGCAGGCCACUUUCUGAGCAAAGAAAGAUUCCCUGAAACCUUUUGGCGCCAUCAACAACAGCAGCAGCAAGAAAAGUUUGGCUUGAAAAAUUCAUUCAUAGGAUGAAAAAAUACAAUGGAAAUCUAUCAUUAUGGAUGUUUCCGAGAGAGGGAGAAAAAAGACCCGGGCUUUGUUUUGCAUUUUGGUUUGUGUGUCCAUAUGUGAAGACACAGGUGUGGGAUUCCCUCAAGGGAGGAAUUGCUGGGUCAUAUGAUAUUCUGAUUUUCCAGCACGUUUUCAGAUCGAAAAUUAUUGGAAGAAACUGACAACCUAACAGCACAUCACACCAGCCAGGUUAAGUGGGAUUCAAGGGCCCUCCAGGAAGGACAGCCAAGAUUUUUGAUUCAACACUGAAUAAGGAAGCACCUGGAGAAAUAAGCCUCAAAAGAAACAUCUGACAAGCCACUCAAUCCUAUAAACGGUAAGAGUCCCCUGUAUGUCCCAUGUUUGUGAUAUUAAAUAAAUGUGUGUGGGCAACACGGAUUAUAAGGGUCUUUGUCAAGUAAGGGAAUUUCGUUGCUUUGAAUCUCUGAAAGGAAGCGUGAAUCUCUGUUCAAAGCAGUCCAUUCCAUUUUAGCGUGCUCUAAAGAUUAAAAAUGUGUCUUUACAUUAAACCUACAUCUGCCUGGGUCAGAUUUCCUAGUCUUAAUCUUGCCCUCUGGAGCUAACCUGUCCAUUUUAUCUCUUUUCAGAGGACAUUUUCCCCAAAUGCGACUGUAGUUAUCAGACUUUUUUUAAGUCUUCUCUGCACAGUUCCUACAAGCUUUCCUUCCAUGACACAGA